rnacentral:rRNA from 1 species
AUGCUGCCGUCGCACCUCAACGGCCACUCCCCGCUCGCGCGCCGCCGCCCCCACCUCCCCGCGGCCACCCCGCCCGCCGCCGCCGCCGGGGACCCCCCGGCGGCGGGCCCGGCGGGGGAUGCCGCGCUGGAGGCGCACGACCGCGUCUACUUCCAGUCCUACUCCCACAUCGGCAUCCACGAGUCCAUGAUCAAGGACAGGGUCAGGACCGACGCGUAUCGCGAAGCAAUCAUGCUCCACCAGAAGUUCAUCGAGGGGAAGGUUGUGAUGGACGUGGGGUGUGGGACUGGGAUACUCUCGGUGUUCUGUGCUCGUGCCGGCGCGAAACGGGUUUAUGCUGUGGAUGCUAGUGAAAUCGCUACCCAGGCUAGUGAAAUUGUAAAAGCGAACAAUUUAGCUGAUAAGAUCGUGGUCAUUCAUGGACGUGUUGAGGAUGUUGAUGUUGAGGAGAAGGUUGAUGUAAUAAUAUCAGAAUGGAUGGGUUAUAUGCUUCUCUACGAGAGUAUGCUGCCAAGCGUUCUAUUUGCAAGGGAUAAAUGGCUUAAGCCAGGGGGUCUUAUCCUGCCUUCUCAUGCUACGCUUUUCAUGGCGCCUAUAACAAAUUCUGAUAGAUAUGAAGGAAGCAUUGAUUUCUGGUGUGAUGUUUAUGGCAUAAACAUGUCUGCUCUUGUGCCACUUGCCAAAAAAUUCGCAUCCGAGGAGCCCUCCAUUGAAAUAAUUGGUGGAGAAAAUGUUAUAAGUUGGCCAUUUGUGGUGAAGCACAUUGAUUGCUACACUUUUACGGUUGAGGAAUUCAAGUCUAUCACCACAACGUACAAAGUUUCAUCAAUGAUGUUAGCUCCAAUUCACGGCUUUGGUCUCUGGUUUGAGGUGGAGUUCAAUGGGCCUGCAGAGUCUUGUAGCAAUUUGUCCUCUGAUUUGAGUCCACUUGAUAUUAUUCAGAAGAAAAGGCGAAGGGCAUCAGAUAGCACAGUCGUGCUGUCCACAGCCCCAGAAGACGAGCCAACCCAUUGGCACCAGACAAUUUUGUACUUCCCUGAUCCUAUAGGGGUAACGCAGGAUCAAAUCAUAGAAGGUUCUGUAACAAUCACCCCGAGCGAGGAGAAUCCACGCUGUCUGAAUAUUCACUUGGAGUGCUCGUAA